CAAGUGUUUUGUGAAAGUGUUAUUGUGUUUUAAGUGUUAUUUUGCCAACAUGUUUUGAAAAAUGAUUUUAAUAAGUGAACAUUGAUCGUUAUCGAGCUAAGUCGUUCCGAAAGCACCUGCAUAAUGCUAGGCUUCUAGGUGCCCAUGCAUAACCGUUCCAUUUCCGGGUGCAUGGGAAUGUGUUAAGUAUUAAUUGUGCGCCUAUGCAUACACAAUA
rnacentral:lncRNA from 1 species